UACAGAGGGUGCAAGCGUUAAUCGGAAUUACUGGGCGUAAAGCGUGCGUAGACGGUUACAUAAGUCGGGUGUGAAAGCCCCGGGCUUAACCUGGGAAUGGCCAUGGAAACUGGCGAACUGGAGUGUGGCAGAGGGGGGUGGAAUUCCGCGUGUAGCAGUGAAAUGCGUAGAGAUGCGGAGGAACACCGAUGGCGAAGGCAGCCCCCUGGGCUAGCACUGACGCUCAGGCACGAAAGCGUGGGGAGCAAACAGG
rnacentral:rRNA from 1 species